UGGGGAAUAUUGCACAAUGGGCGCAAGCCUGAUGCAGCCAUGCCGCGUGUAUGAAGAAGGCCUUCGGGUUGUAAAGUACUUUCAGUCGGGAGGAAGGUGGUAAGGUUAAUAACCUUAUCAAUUGACGUUACCGACAGAAGAAGCACCGGCUAACUCCGUGCCAGCAGCCGCGGUAAUACGGAGGGUGCAAGCGUUAAUCGGAAUUACUGGGCGUAAAGCGCACGCAGGCGGUUGAUUGAGUCAGAUGUGAAAUCCCCUGGCUUAACCCGGGAAUUGCAUCUGAUACUGGUCAGCUAGAGUCUUGUAGAGGGGGGUAGAAUUCCAUGUGUAGCGGUGAAAUGCGUAGAGAUGUGGAGGAAUACCGGUGGCGAAGGCGGCCCCCUGGACAAAGACUGACGCUCAGGUGCGAAAGCGUGGGGAGCAAACAGG
rnacentral:rRNA from 1 species